UAAAUACAACAGAAAUCCCCAUAUUACUAAUACUUAAAGAUCAUAACAUGUACUGCUAGCAAAAUUCAACCAACGAUCAAAAUCAAUAGCUUACAAAGUAACAUAAAGGAAUGAAAUCAUACAAACAACAGAAACUGAAUGCAGGCCCAAAACUAAACAUCAAGCUAUAUAAUAAAUCAAGUAUAUAGAAACCACUAACCGGCG
rnacentral:misc_RNA from 1 species